rnacentral:rRNA from 1 species
AUUGAACGCUGGCGGCAUGCUUUACACAUGCAAGUCGAACGGUAACAGGUUAAGCUGACGAGUGGCGGACGGGUGAGUAAUGCAUCGGAACGUGCCCGAUCGUGGGGGAUAACGCAGCGAAAGCUGCGCUAAUACCGCAUACGAUCUGAGGAUGAAAGCGGGGGACCGUAAGGCCUCGCGCGAUCGGAGCGGCCGAUGUCAGAUUAGGUAGUUGGUGGGGUAAAGGCUCACCAAGCCAACGAUCUGUAGCUGGUCUGAGAGGACGACCAGCCACACUGGGACUGAGACACGACCCAGACUCCUACGGGAGGCAGCAGUGGGGAAUUUUGGACAAUGGGCGAAAGCCUGAUCCAGCAAUGCCGCGUGCAGGAAGAAGGCCUUCGGGUUGUAAACUGCUUUUGUACGGAGCGAAAAGGCUCUCUCUAAUACAGGGGGCUCAUGACGGUACCGUAAGAAUAAGCACCGGCUAACUACGUGCCAGCAGCCGCCGUAA